rnacentral:rRNA from 1 species
GAUGAACGCUGGCGGCGUGUCUAAUACAUGCAAGUCGAGCGAACGGACGAGAAGCUUGCUUCUCCGAUGUUAGCGGCGGACGGGUGAGUAACACGUGGAUAACCUACCUAUAAGACUGGGAUAACUUCGGGAAACCGUAGCUAAUACCGGAUAAUAUUUUGAACCGCAUGGUUCAAAAGUGAAAGACGGUCUUGCUGUCACUUAUAGAUGGAUCCGCGCUGCAUUAGCUAGUUGGUAAGGUAACGGCUUACCAAGGCAACGAUGCAUAGCCGACCUGAGAGGGUGAUCGGCCACACUGGAACUGAGACACGGUCCAGACUCCUACGGGAGGCAGCAGUAGGGAAUCUUCCGCAAUGGGCGAAAGCCUGACGGAGCAACGCCGCGUGAGUGAUGAAGGUCUUCGGAUCGUAAAACUCUGUUAUUAGGGAAGAACAUAUGUGUAAGUAACUGUGCACAUCUUGACGGUACCUAAUCAGAAAGCCACGGCUAACUACGUG